UUCUAAUCGAGUUUUGCUAUGCUGACUCUCUUAUUUCUUUCUACCCUGCAGUUUGCGUGUUGUUUUACAACACUGCAAAAUUUGCCUGAAGAGUAAAUAUUUGUGAGUUUUCAGAAUCUUGUCAUGUCCCACAAAGGAAAAUAAUUUUCCUGUGCUACUUCUACUAUUACCUUGAUUUCACCGUGGGAAGGUACAGAUCUAAUCCUUUGGAAGGGGGGAACUAUGAGGUGAAGAAGCAGCCAGAGGAGUAAAACAGGGUUUUGAUAUAAAUUUGGCCAGUUGAGAAUGCUGAACAGAACCUCAGCUGAAGUGAACUGAUGCAACUAUUGAGAAGAUGCAUUUGAGGAAAAUGCCAAGCAUGACUGAAUUAUUGUGUUCACCUGGAAAUUACUUCACUGGCACUUUUCUGGAAACACAGAAAAACGCACCCUAAUUUAUCCAAAAAGAUGUAAAUAAAAGCUGUGUAACGACAAUAUAUUUUUUUAUGGUAAAAGAAAUUGGAAC
rnacentral:lncRNA from 1 species